rnacentral:rRNA from 1 species
GAUGAACGCUGACAGAAUGCUUAACACAUGCAAGUCAACUUGAACUUCGGUUUGGGUGGCGGACGGGUGAGUAACGCGUAAAGAACUUGCCUCACAGAUAGGGACAACAUUUGGAAACGAAUGCUAAUACCUGAUAUUAUGAUUAUAUGGCAUCGUAUAAUUAUGAAAGCUAUAUGCGCUGUGAGAGAGCUUUGCGUCCCAUUAGCUAGUUGGAGAGGUAACGGCUCACCAAGGCGAUGAUGGGUAGCCGGCCUGAGAGGGUGAUCGGCCACAAGGGGAAUGAGACACGGCCCUUACUCCUACGGGAGGCAGCAGUGGGGAAUAUUGGACAAUGGACCAAGAGUCUGAUCCAGCAAUUCUGUGUGCACGAUGAAGUUUUUCGGAAUGUAAAGUGCUUUCAGUUGGGAAGAAAAAAAUGACGGUACCAACAGAAGAAGUGACGGCUAAAUACGUG